CCCCGGGCCACCCCAGGAGCAGCUCAAGUCCUGGGCAGAAGUCAUGACUUAAGAGACUUACUUCAAACUCUUUGGAGUGCCUCCCUGCUAAAUACCUGCUUAAGUCUAGAGGUUCAAAUGAAGUCCUCCCCCCGCCAUCGUGCGUCACCCCCCUCUUCUCUCCCGAGGUCGCACCGGUCAGGAAAAUACAAUUUUAUCUCCCCGGCUCAGCAGAGUGGACAAGUGUUUGUGCACCACUGAGCCCGCCAGCACCGCUGAGACAGUGGCUCUCCUGGAUGCAAAAGGAGAAAAAAUCUCAACAAAACUCCCUCAACCUCCCUCCCUCCCUACCGCCCCC
rnacentral:lncRNA from 1 species